GAGGGUAUAGCUCAAUGGUAGAGCGCAUGCUUAGCAUGCACAAGGUCCCGGAUUUAAUCCCCAGUACCUCUG
rnacentral:tRNA from 1 species